UUAUUUUUUUCUUAUUCAUUUUUUGUUUUAUUUUUACCCAUCGUUGAAUCCAACCAUUUCAUCUUUCUUGGAUUGGAAUCACUUACAUUUAUCCUUGUUCUUUCUCUAUUAGUCUUGUUCCCCUUUGUUGGUCAUUCUCACGCCAUGGACUAAGCCGAAAACCGCCGUCCCUUCACCGGUCGCUGGUCGAUGCUAUUCGAGGCUGAAUUAGUGUCGUUCGCGUUCAGAGGAGUCGACCAUAGGGAGCUGGUUGCUGGAGUUGCUGGCCGCAUCGUCGCCGGGACGCUUGAGGAAGAUUACCGGAGCCGCCGUCGUCGGCCUCUUGGAGAGUCGCCUGAAGCAAAUGUUUUCGCCGCUAGAAGUCCAUCAUAAAUUGUCGCGGCUUGGAUCCCAAAACGAAGCAGGCUGCUGCUUGCUUGAUUUAAUUUGUCGAUCUAUGUCGUCUUUAGCGGUGCAGGAUAAGGGCUGCGCGAUGAAUAUGAGAUUAAUUUCAGAAAAUAGACACAAACAAGGAAGUGCAAUUCAAGUCCUAUGUGUCGAUUGCAUUGCCUAAUUUUUGGGUUCUGUUUGUUUGUGUUUUAAUCUCUUUUCCAGUUUGAGUAUUUAGCCUUAGUUUAAUGUGAUCAUUUCAUUUCGAUUUUGUUAUUAGUUUAAUUUGAGUUUUCUUUGAA